rnacentral:rRNA from 1 species
GUGAACGCUGGCGGUAGGCCUAACAUAUGCAAGUCGAACGGCAGCACAGUAAGAGCUUGCUCUUACGGGUGGCGAGUGGCGGACGGGUGAGGAAUACAUCGGAAUCUACUUUUUCGUGGGGGAUCACGUAGGGAAACUUACGCUAAUACCGCAUACUACCUACGGGUGAAAGCAGGGGAUCUUCGGACCUUGCGCGAUUGAAUGAGCCGAUGUCGGAUUAGCUAGUUGGCGGGGUAAAGGCCCACCAAGGCGACGAUCCGUAGCUGGUCUGAGAGGAUGAUCAGCCACACUGGAACUGAGACACGGUCCAGACUCCUACGGGAGGCAGCAGUGGGGAAUAUUGGACAAUGGGCGCAAGCCUGAUCCAGCCAUACCGCGUGGGUGAAGAAGGCCUUCGGGUUGUAAAGCCCUUUUGUUGGGAAAGAAAAGCAGCAGGUUAAUACCCCGCUGUUCUGACGGUACCCAAAGAAUAAGCACCGGCUAACUUCGUG